rnacentral:lncRNA from 1 species
UGGUUAUGGGAUGUGGCUGUGGGAUGUGGUUAUGGGAUGUGGUUAUGGGGCAUGGUUGUGGGGUGUGGUUAUGGGAUGUGGUUAUGGGGUGGCUGUGGCUGUGGUUAUGGGAUGGCAGCAGUGCAGUCGCUGCCCGCAGCCGACGGCUCCAACCAGCAGCACGCGCUGUUCCGCCGUUACUGCGAUCCGUGCCGCGUGGGGCUGCGCCGGGAAGCGCCGUGGGCCAUGGGUAACACAGCAAACCCCAAAGAAACCCCAAAGAAACCCCAAAUGGUAACCCCAAAUCCAACCCUACAUCGAGCCCCAAAUGGAACCCUGCAUCAAACCCUAAAUCUAACCCUAAAUGGAACCCCAAAUUGAGCCCUACAUCAAACCCCAAAUCUAUCCCUAAAUUAAACCCCAAAUCGAACCCUACCUCGAACCCUAAAUCGAACCCUAAAUUGAACCCCUAAUCUAACCCCAAAUUAUACCCUAAAUUGAACCCCAAAUCAAACCCCAAAGAAACCCCAAAUCGAACCCUGAACAGAACCCCAAAUUGUACCCUACAUCUGACCCCAAAUCAAACCCUACAUCAAACCCCAAAUCUAACCAUACAUCUGACCCCAAAUUGAACCCUAAAUUGAACCCCAAAUCAAACCCUACGUCGAACCCCAAAUCUAACCAUACAUCUGACCCCAAAUCGAGCCCCAAACUGAACCCCAAAUCGAACCCUACAGCAAACCCCAAAUCUAACAGCACAUCUGACCCCAAAUCGAACCCGAAAUUGAACCCCAAAUCUGACCGUAUAUCUGACCCUAAAUUGAACCCUAAUCUGAAUCCCAAAUCGAACCCUACAUCGAACCCCAAAUCAAACCCUAAACUGAACCCUAAAUUAAAGCCCAAAUUGAACCCUCAAACCCCAAAUCGGACCCUACAUCUAACCCCAAAUUAAACCACAGAUCAAACCCUAAAUCAAACCCUAAUCUGAACCCCAAAUCUAACCCUACAUCUAACCCCAAAUUAAACCACAGAUCAAACCCUAAAUCAAACCCUAAUCUAACCCCUAAUUAAACCCCAAAUUAAACACCAAAUUAAACCCUAAAUAAACCCCAAAUCAAACCCUAAAUCUAACA